GCCGAGAUGCCCGAGCGGCCAAAGGGAGCAGACUGUAAAUCUGCCGGCUACGCCUUCGUAGGUUCGAAUCCUACUCUCGGCAC
rnacentral:tRNA from 1 species